UACGUAGGGGGCAAGCGUUGUCCGGAUUUACUGGGCGUAAAGCGCGUGUAGGCGGCUCGGCAAGUCGGGUGUGAAAGCCCUGGGCUUAACCUAGGAAGUGCACUCGAAACUGCCAAGCUUGAGUUCUGGAGAGGAAGGCGGAAUUCUCGGUGUAGAGGUGAAAUUCGUAGAUAUCGAGAGGAACACCGGUGGCGAAGGCGGCCUUCUGGACAGCAACUGACGCUGAGACGCGAAAGCGUGGGGAGCAAACAGG
rnacentral:rRNA from 1 species